rnacentral:rRNA from 1 species
UACGAAGGGGGCUAGCGUUGUUCGGAAUUACUGGGCGUAAAGCGCACGUAGGCGGGUCGUUAAGUCAGGGGUGAAAUCCCGGCGCUCAACUCCGGAACUGCCUUCGAUACUGGCGAUCUUGGAGUCCGGGAGAGGUGAGUGGAACUGCGAGUGUAGAGGUGAAAUUCGUAGAUAUUCGCAAGAACACCAGUGGCGAAGGCGGCUCACUGGCCCGGUACUGACGCUGAGAUACGAAAGCGUGGGGAGCAAACAGG